rnacentral:rRNA from 1 species
UGCCUACGGGGGGCAGCAGUGGGGGAUAUUGCACAAUGGGGGGAACCCUGAUGCAGCGACGCCGCGUGAGCGAAGAAGUACCUCGGUAUGUAAAGCUCUAUCAGCAGGGAAGAAAAUGACGGUACCUGACUAAGAAGCCCCGGCUAAAUACGUGCCAGCAGCCGCGGUAAUACGUAUGGGGCAAGCGUUAUCCGGAUUUACUGGGUGUAAAGGGGGCGCAGACGGCGAUGCAAGCCAGGAGUGAAAGCCCGGGGCCCAACCCCGGGACUGCUCUUGGAACUGCGUGGCUGGAGUGCAGGAGGGGC